rnacentral:rRNA from 1 species
CACGUAGGGGACGAGCGUUGUCCGGAUUCAUUGGGCGUAAAGCGCGCGUAGGCGGCUCGGAAAGUCGGUCGUGAAAUGCCGGGGCUCAACCCCGGGACUGCGUCCGAUACUCCCGAGCUGGAGGCAGGUAGGGAGAUCGGAAUUCCUGGUGUAGCGGUGAAAUGCGCAGAUAUCAGGAGGAACACCGGUGGCGAAGGCGGAUCUCUGGGCCUUGCCUGACGCUGAGGCGCGAAAGCUAGGGGAGCGAACAGG